UCAACUGCCCUAACAUUCUCCCAGCGCUCCGUUGCCUCCUCCAAGGCGCUGGGGAGCUGGCUGACUUGAAAGUGUGAAUCAAUUUCAGCUGCAAAGAACUUGAGCUCCUGGAUUUUAAACGUGAAUCCCUUGGUACAGCAAGAGCUCCAGGGACGGAUGCCCAGCUUUGUGUCCACGCGUCCUUGUUCACCAGCGAGCCGUCCGACGCCAGGAUUCGUCUGCCCAGAGAUCCCCUUCUGAGGAAGAAAUUGAGCAUCAGGGAGAGGAAGCGGCUUCUACGGUUGCUGCUUGGCCACGCCGGCAUCUAUGGACAGAGAAGCAAAGGAAGGAGACCCCGGAAGAGAGCUCUUACCCCACGUGUGGAUGGGGACACUGCUGCUGACAGCUUGCCAACGUGCUGAAGUCACUCUGUAGGAGGCAGAGUCAGAAUCUGAGCGUGGGACGUUGGAGGGCAGAGCUCUGGGCCCUCAACCACUGCUUUCCAGGAGAAAGUGAGGAACUGUCUGGGCGUGGGUGGUAAAGGGAGAGUGGGAGAGUACCCCCAGGCUCUCUGGGAACCCAGGGCCCCAGUGUCUAAGCUCUCCCACCCACUUUUCCCACUGUGGCCCAGCCCAGACCCCUGGCCCUCCUCCUGAACCCCAGGGACCACUGCUGUUGGGAGAACCCAGGCAGACAGUGGCCCCAUUUU